rnacentral:lncRNA from 7 species
AUGAUACGGGCUCUGAUUGAGAUGAUGAGCUCAGAGCUCCCUUUCCAGGUGAUCCUUUGGAUUCGGAUUCUGUGCGUGUGCCCGUGGGACAACCCAGAGGCCCUGCUGGUGAAUCAGCAGAAUGGAAUCCUGUCUAUGAGCCUGAGGGGGAUGCUGGAGGUAAGUCACCAGUCUUCCUUUGUUCAUAUAUUUGCCUGGGAUAGUUCAGCAAGGGUUCCGCUUUUCACCAGCCAGCAGGUUCUUCUCCCCGAGAAGCAUGGAUGGUCAUUGUUUCUUGGGUGCUCCGUGCUGUCAGCGUUGCGUUGGCUUUGUCUCUGUAUCUCCGAGGUCUCCCAGUAAGAAAAUUUCUAGGGGCCGAGUGUUCUUCCGUGAGCUCUCUGAGAAUUGUUUCCCAUGGCCUGGAGAAAGUAUUUGGAAAGCUGUGGAAUACCAGCCAGCAGGUCACCUGGCCUCUCUGCAACUUUGGAACUUUCCCCCCCACAGCAUUACCUGAGUGAGCCCCUUCCAUCACCGCAGGUCACUAAGGAAGAGAGAGAUGGGCACAUGCAAUAGGAAUGUUUCUCCUCUGUCCUUGAUUACAGCUGUGCCUCCAGGCAGUGGCUCACCAAAGCCUAGGUUUAAUGCAGUUGAGUUUAGAGCUGGGGUGAGCUCCAGCUCUGGGCAGUUCCACACGGGUUAGUUCUGUAUGAUGGUGGUGCCCGGCAGGCACCCAGGAACUGUUUCCAAGGUGCUCCUGUGUGGAAGGGAGAGAACAGUGUCGUGAAGGAAUCCCCCAGCUUAAAUUGCAUCUUGUGUCAUUCUGACUGGAAGGAUGUUUAAUGGGAGUUGCUCUGUCCUGCAUUUCUUUGCAGAUGUGACCUGGAGGAGGUGAUCCAGGUUCCCCUCUAGGUUCUGGGACUGAAUCUCCAGCAGAUCACAUGGGUAUGUCAUGACUUUGUAAUUCCUUAGAGAGCUUUCAUUGCCCAUUCAGUGCCAUUUCAUGGCACGAUCUCC